ACUCUGUCAAGCCCAGGGAAAGGCGUGGGGUCAGAGGAUUUGGCUCUGUCACACCAUUCACUGCCUGCCCUUCUUCCCAGCGCUUCCAAGAUCUGGUUGUAUUAAACACGAGAAUGAAGAGAGGAAAACACCUUCGCCCACGGUGUGCUCUGGGGACAUCUCCAGGUGUGGGUGGUGGCGUCAGCCACAGGACAGAUGCCCACUCUUCCUGGCUUUGAUGAAGCAAGUUGCCUUGUUCCAGGGAUCCAUAUUACUAAUGAAUGAGGGCAGCCUCCAGCCAAUAGCCAGCAGGGAACUGAGGCCCUCAGUCCAGCAACCCUCAAGGAACUGAAAUGCUGCUAACGACCACAUGGAUGUAGAAGCAGAUCCUUCCCCAAUCAAGCCUUGAGAUGAGACUGCAGCCCCAGACAACACCUCCUGAGAGACUCUGAAACAGAGAGCCUGGCUAAGCCCUGCCCAUAUUCCUAACUCACAGAAACUGUGAGAUAAUACAUAUGUGCCAUUUUAAGCUGUAA
rnacentral:lncRNA from 1 species